CUCUUAUCUCGCCGUGGAACUCCUGGCAGGGCGGGGGGCGGAGUCCCGGCCUUGUCCUCCCUACUAGCGACUCCUCCAAGGAGGUCUGUCGGUGUGGGCAAGCGCCCGGUGUUGGGAUGGCCGCUCCUGGACCCUAGGACUCUGUGUGUCGGGUGUCGGAUUGGGUGGCAUGGGGUGAGGUCUGGAGCGGGACUUAGGGCAGGGAGGGUGCAGAGGACGGUUCCAGAAAUGAGUGGGUCCACUGGGGUCAAGCCGGCGGUCACCACAGCCAGAAAGAUCCAGACAAGAAGGUUUCCUUUGAAAGAGUUGAAGGAGAAAGCACAUCCCAACUUUUCAAAUUCUGGCCGGCCCGGCCAGUCAGGGGACAAGAGACUACAAAUUGGAGGAAGCAAGCAGAGACAGCCCCAGAUGGCCCGGACUCUGGGGAGUACUUGCUGCAUUUGAGCCUCUACAACUGGUGUUGCUCCCAUUAUGCAGACGGAAGACAGCCCCAGGGAACAAAUGCUAGGAAAUGGCAGGGUGUGGAAACUGAGGCAUGGAGAGGUUACAGUAUACCCUUGAUCUCCCAACUGGCAAGUAAUGGUUGAAGUCAGGAGCCUACACACUUCCUCCUACUUCCUCUGUGGGUGCUGGUGAUCUGCCAACUCCUAGACAUCCAGCUUUAAGGUCCUCAGUGAAGCUUCUCUGCCCCCAGGCCUGUCAAUGUGAGAGCACCAUGGGUGUCCCUUUGAAAGCAUCUCCUACAGAGGCCAGUGAUUAUGCGAUCUAUGCGUAAACCAAAGGAUCCCAAGGCUUUUGGCCUUCCAACUAGUUUUGUGUGUGUGUGACUAUGACAGCACUCGCACCUCACCUGCAUGCUGGAAAUAGUGAUGUGCCCCUGUUCUGCCCCAAGUGCCUGCCUCAGGCAUUGUGGGUCCCUCUGGCCAACUUAGUACUUCAUUCUCCUGCCCUAGUUGCUCCCUAGAAGCCCCGGCUUUGAUUGCUGAGCCCACACUGCCACCUAGCGGUGGCUCCUCUCAUGCCCUCACUAGCCAAAUCUCCAUAGAUUCCUCCCUUCUAGGAUACCCUCCCCUGCACCCCAGGGAUUGACCUUACUGCAAGAUUCCCCUGACCCUCCCUACCCAGAACAAUCACAAGAUGAGUCACAAGAAUACACAGCAGUGCCUUCCC